AACGAACGCUGGCGGCAGGCCUAACACAUGCAAGUCGAGCGAGGACUUCGGUCCUAGCGGCGGACGGGUGAGUAACGCGUGGGAACGUUCCCUUUGCUUCGGAAUAGCCCUGGGAAACUGGGAGUAAUACCGGAUGAGCCCUUUGGGGGAAAGAUUUAUCGGCGAAGGAUCGGCCCGCGUUGGAUUAGGUAGUUGGUGGGGUAAUGGCCUACCAAGCCGACGAUCCAUAGCUGGUUUGAGAGGAUGAUCAGCCACACUGGGACUGAGACACGGCCCAGACUCCUACGGGAGGCAGCAGUGGGGAAUCUUAGACAAUGGGGGAAACCCUGAUCUAGCCAUGCCGCGUGAGCGGUGAAGGCCUUAGGGUUGUAAAGCUCUUUCAGCUGGGAAGAUAAUGACGGUACCAGCAGAAGAAGCCCCGGCUAACUCCGUG
rnacentral:rRNA from 1 species